AAAUGGGACACCCUGUAUAUAUAUAAUGUAAUGUAAUGCACUUUUAUCUACUGUACAUAGUAUCUCUAAUCGCUUGCCUGUGAAGAAAAAGAAAAGAUAUAACUUCGAAAAAUAUACUCACGGCCCUGCAUCGUGACUCUUACGUAAGAACGAUAUCGCUGAUAUCACACAAUGUGUCAACAGUGACCGGCAAUAAUUAUAAUAACGACUCGCAUGUCUGGACAGUGAUGGCCGAAUUCGUUUAUGGCAGUACGGCACCAUGGAAAGUUACAAUAACCCGUUCAGGAUAUUGAGGACAAUGAAUGGAACCGUUGACAACUCCUUGCGGAAGAGCAAGGUUUUAUUUGUAGCAAUGUCAUCUAAUGAAACUACCGAGAAAAAUUAUUAGACAAUGAGUAAAUAUUCUGUUCGUCGCAAAGAGAUUUUGUAUAUUGCACUUAUUGUAUCAGUUGCAACUGUAUGUUUAAACAAUGUGUCUAAUUUUUUACAAUAUUAAUUUCUGAAAAAUUUUGCUUUGAAAUAUAUAAGAUAUGGCAAGUAUAGCAUAUUCCAAUAUUUGCUAGUAGUUGAGUUUUGUAGUCGUAACGUUUAACGUAAAAUUAGAAUUUAAUUGUCGUUGAACAACUAGGCUAUUUAUGGCUCGUACUAGCGAUAAGAUCGGAUAUCGAUUUCCUGAGUUUCAAUACGACAUUCAUUGCAGAAACGAGGAAAAUAUUGAUCUGAAAAUCAUACACGUACCAUAUGUAAUAUUAUCUCCCAUUAGUGUUUCUAGGAAGACUGGUUUCAUCAUUCACAGAAGCAAGCUAGAAUUAGACUAGAACUAAAACUGAACGAGUUGCAACAAAACACGUUAUACUAGAAGAACGUAUAUAAAAAAAUAUACAAAAUAAUGUGAGAGAGUAUAACGAAAUUUUAAUUUUUUAUUAAAACCGCUUUGAUGAAGCGAAAUUAUUUGAGACUUGAUUAUGAAGAAGAUCGGUAAUCAAACAGCGAAACAAGUGAUUUUCCUAAAGAAAGAUCGUUUCUGAUGAAAAGUUUCAGUUAACAUUAGAUUAAAAGGUAUUUGCUUAAUUGAUAUGAUUCAUCAUCAUAUUAUCGUAAUUAUUUCAUAAACGUGACGUAUAAUCGAUGUGUAAAAGACGUAUUUCGAUUCGUGUUAAACAUCAUCACGGUGCGUGAGAUUUUCGAAUACAGAUUAAGACGUGCCUUAUCCAUAUUUUCUACAUAACGUGAGUUGUGAGAACGGACCGGACAAAAAUCUCCGUAUGUACCUAUAUAUGGGCUUGGCCCGGACCUUGAAAUCUUUCGCAGUGUCCAAUAGCCGCAAUUGGCCAGACCAAGGGUCGAGCGAACAUCAAACGCCACCGUGGGAAUAUGUACAUUUACAGGGGAUAUUAGUAUGAUUAAAUCAUAUGGCGUUAUUACUCGUUUCCUGUGGCAAGUUUUGCGACACAUUAUGUGACUCUGCACUUUAAAGGCUGCAUCGUGAGAUGCAUUUAAUUAAUAUCUCAAGUGUCUAAUUAAGUGUAAUCAAGUGUGUUUAAUUAAUAUCUCAAGUUUCAAGUGUCAUCUCAUCAUUGUUCAUUUUAUUCUCUUGCAUUUAUGAGGAGAAGGCGAAAGAAUGUACACAAAACGCGUUUAUCUUAUACGUGUCUUUAAAGUAUAUUUCGUAAGAAAACAUGAUAAUUUUAUAAUAUUCGCGUGUUGCCAUUCUUAUUGCAAGAUUUUAACACAAUUUCAGAUUUCGGAUUGAAUCACGUACACUUAAGUUGU